UACAGGGGGUGCAAGCGUUACUCGGAAUUAUUGGGCGUAAAGAGCGUGUAGGCGGUUUGUUAAGUUUGGUGUGAAAUCCCUGGGCUCAAUCCAGGAAGUGCAUUGAAUACUGACAGACUAGAGUAUAGGAGAGGAUGGUGGAAUUCCUGGUGUAGAGGUGAAAUUCGUAGAUAUCAGGAGGAACAACAGUGGCGAAGGCGACCAUCUGGACUAUUACUGACGCUAAGGCGCGAAAGCGUGGGGAGCAAACAGG
rnacentral:rRNA from 1 species